rnacentral:tRNA from 1 species
AUGGAUAUAGCUCAGUGGUAGAGUGCAUGCUUAGCAUGCAUGAGACCCUAGGUUAAAUCCCCAGUACCUGCA